UACGGAGGGUGCGAGCGUUGUCCGGAAUCAUUGGGCGUAAAGGGCGCGUAGGUGGCCCGGUCAGUCUUUGGUGAAAGCGCGGGGCUCAACCCUGCGUCGGCCAGGGAUACUGCCGCGGCUCGAGCACUGUAGAGGCAGGCGGAAUUCCGGGUGUAGCGGUGGAAUGCGCAGAUAUCAGGAGGAACACCAAUAGCGAAGGCAGCUCGCUGGGACGGUACUGACGCUAAGGCGCGAAAGCGUGGGGAGCGAACAGG
rnacentral:rRNA from 1 species